rnacentral:rRNA from 1 species
ACGUAGGGUGCAAGCGUUAUUCGGAAUUAUUGGGCGUAAAGGGCGCGUAGGCGGUUCGGCGCGUCCGGUGUGAAAGCCCCUCGCUUAACGGUGGAACUGCGCCGGGAACUGCCGGUCUGGAGUGCUGGAGAGGAUACUGGAAUUCCCGGUGUAGCGGUGAAAUGUGUAGAUAUCGGGAAGAACACCAGUGGCGAAGGCAGGUAUCUGGGCUGUAACUGACGCUGAGGCGCGAAAGCGUGGGGAGCAAACAG